CAGCACCUCAAGUGGUCAGGAUGAUUAUUGGGCCUAAAGCAUCCGUAGCCGGCGCUGUAAGUUUUCGGUUAAAUCUGUACGCUCAAUGUACAGGCUGCCGGGAAUACUGCAGCGCUAGGGAGUGGGAGAGGUAGACGGUACUCGGUAGGAAGGGGUAAAAUCCUUUGAUCUAUUGAUGACCACCUGUGGCGAAGGCGGUCUACCAGAACACGUCCGACGGUGAGGGAUGAAAGCUGGGGGAGCAAACCGGAUUAGAGACCCGCGUAGUCC
rnacentral:rRNA from 1 species